GAUGAACGCUAGCGACAGGCCUAACACAUGCAAGUCGAGGGGCAUCGGGACGUAGCAAUACGUUGCCGGCGACCGGCGGAUGGGUGAGUAACGCGUAUGCAACCUACCCGUAGCAGGGGGAUAGCCCGUUGAAAGACGGAUUAAUACCCCGUAACACAGGGGCUCCGCAUGGAGAUUAUUGUUAAAGGGUCAUUUCUUUUAGAGGUGGUCCGGCUACGGAUGGGCAUGCGUUCCAUUAGGUAGUUGGUGUAGGUAACGGCUCACCAAGCCGACGAUGGAUAGGGGAACUGAGAGGUUGGUCCCCCACACUGGUACUGAGACACGGACCAGACUCCUACGGGAGGCAGCAGUGAGGAAUCUUGGUCAAUGGACGCAAGUCUGAACCAGCCAUGUCGCGUGAAGGAGGACGGCCCUGAGGGUUGUAAACUUCUUUUGCAGCGGAAUAAAGUUUGCCACGAGUUGGCGAUUUGCAAGUACGCUGCGAAUAAGGAUCGGCUAACUCCGUGCCAGCAGCCGCGGUAAUACGGAGGAUCCGGCCGUUAUCCGGAUUUAUUGGGUUUAAAGGGUGCGCA
rnacentral:rRNA from 1 species